rnacentral:rRNA from 1 species
UGGGGAAUAUUGGACAAUGGGCGCAAGCCUGAUCCAGCCAUGCCGCGUGAGGGAUGAAGGCCCUAGGGUUGUAAAGCUCUUUCACCGGUGAAGAUAAUGACGGUAACCGGAGAAGAAGCCCCGGCUAACUUCGUGCCAGCAGCCGCGGUAAUACGAAGGGGGCUAGCGUUGUUCGGACUUACUGGGCGUAAAGCGCACGUAGGCGGACUAUUAAGUCAGGGGUGAAAUCCCGGGGCUCAACCCCGGAACUGCCUUUGAUACUGGUAGUCUUGAGUUCGAGAGAGGUGAGUGGAAUUCCGAGUGUAGAGGUGAAAUUCGUAGAUAUUCGGAGGAACACCAGUGGCGAAGGCGGCUCACUGGCUCGAUACUGACGCUGAGGUGCGAAAGCGUGGGGAGCAAACAGG